rnacentral:tRNA from 1 species
GUCCAGGGAUGGGAAUCGAACCCACAGUGUUCCGCUUACCGGGCAGAUGCCAUAUCCACUAGGCUACCCUGGA